GUGGGGAAUAUUGGACAAUGGGCGAAAGCCUGAUCCAGCCAUGCCGCGUGUGUGAAGAAGGUCUUCGGAUUGUAAAGCACUUUAAGUUGGGAGGAAGGGCAGUAAGUUAAUACCUUGCUGUUUUGAAGUUACCAACAGAAUAAGCACCGGCUAACUUCGUGCCAGCAGCCGCGGUAAUACGAAGGGUGCAAGCGUUAAUCGGAAUUACUGGGCGUAAAGCGCGCGUAGGUGGUUCAGCAAGUUGAAGGUGAAAUCCCCGGGCUCAACCUGGGAACUGCCUCCAAAACUGCAUGACUAGAGUACGGUAGAGGGUAGUGGAAUUUCCUGUGUAGCGGUGAAAUGCGUAGAUAUAGGAAGGAACACCAGUGGCGAAGGCGACUACCUGGACUGAUACUGACACUGAGGUGCGAAAGCGUGGGGAGCAAACAGGAUUAGAAACCCCAGUAGUCC
rnacentral:rRNA from 1 species